rnacentral:rRNA from 1 species
UACGUAGGGUGCGAGCGUUGUCCGGAAUUAUUGGGCGUAAAGAGCUCGUAGGCGGUGUGUCGCGUCGGCCGUGAAAACCUGGGGCUCAACUCUGGGCGUGCGGUCGAUACGGGCAGACUAGAGUACUGCAGGGGAGACUGGAAUUCCUGGUGUAGCGGUGGAAUGCGCAGAUAUCAGGAGGAACACCGGUGGCGAAGGCGGGUCUCUGGGCCGAUACUGACGCUGAGGAGCGAAAGCGUGGGGAGCGAACAGG